CGGGAAAAUUAAUUCUCAGCGUUUUUAUCAACAUUAUGAAUGGCUAGCCGUCCAGAUCUCGCUGACGACACGCUGGUGGAGCUGCAGAGUGCAGUGAAGGGAUGGACGGAUACAACGCUGAAUUAUUACCGAACCCCUACAGGGACUAUCUCAGUUAGGCCGGGAUCACCGUUCUCGUUAGAGGUCUAACGUUAGAUCGACCGCUAUUUUGCCACGGUCUAUCGGUGAGACUGCAGAGUUGGAAUAUACAUCAGCUUCCACAGGAAUAAUAAGUACUUUCAGUCAAACGGAAGCUCUGACCAAUGCCGUGAAUGAGGAUAUUUGCCGGAGUUGUUCUCCUAUGAGUACAACUAGGCCGAUUGUCUUAAUUUGAGGCUGUGCCUGUGAUAAAACUGCCGGCGAUGCUUCGAGUUCGAUGGAGCUGGAUCUAAUUGAUCGUUGAUGCGAAUGGAGUGGAGUUAGGGCCCGGACCACAGUGUAUAUAUCUUGACCCGGGACGUGGAGUCUGAAGUUAAUUGGCCAGGGCACAAAUGAUCAAGCCUAGACCCAGACUGAUGUACGAGGAGACUUGACCUGGACUGGUGUACGAAGGGACAGGGCUUAGACUUGGCUUACUAUGGUUCACAUUGGAUGACAGUGGUUGCAAAGGUUUUCACACUGCAAGAUGAGAAAUCCGGAUUUAUUUGAAGAUGCCGGAUUUAUGGUUUAACGUAAUGCUCUAAAUAGACGAGAGGUUGAGAAAUGCAGUGAUCAAGAUCCUUAAGUCCAGACUUGAAGAGGAAACAUGAAUAAUCUCGAAGUUGUUGAGAAGUAUAACCCUUUCGGAGAAAACUAAAAAACCUUGGAAAAAAGGGGCAUUAUGGGAACACCUUCAGUUCGUAUCUAUUUGCCAUUCUGGGCAGCCAGCAAAGUCGGUUGAAGCAUCGAUAACCAAGAAUAUAAACAAAAACUGUGAGGCAUGUCCCUCUGGUGCAUUUAUGUGCUUAUAUAUGUCUCUUCCUUUAAGACAAAACCUCACCUGUUGUAAGAGGCGAUCUCAUAUAUGAAGCCAACUUGAAUGUGGGAAUGCACGCCUUGAUUUUUAUGCCCCCAUUUAACUUCAUUAAUCGAUGUGGAAUGGAUAUUAUUUGUUUCGAUUCACACUGGUGACCAAAAACGAAAAAAAAAAAAAAAAAGAGAAAAAAAAAAAGAGAGAGAAAAAAAAAAUCCCGGUUCUUAGCUUGAAGGAAGGCAUUCCUACAUAAACAUUACACAUGAGAAAAUCAUGCAAAAUUUCCUAAUGCAUGAACUGUUACCAGGGAUGAUGAAAUUCAAUGGUCUUAUUUAACGGUUAUGGAGGCCACAGUUUGUUCACUUGAAAAGAAAUACACAUUUAUCAAAUAGUUGUGGAGAUUGAUUUUGUAUGGCAUUUCAUCAAACAGUUGAGUUGUACAAUAAUGAUAGAAUUACUAGCAUGGUUUGGCUAUACAUUAAUUUGAUAUAUUCUUUGGCCUCAAAUUAUUUCAUGUUAGAGUCACUUCGAUGACCCCCUAAUUGACAUUAAGUUGAAAUUAGUUGAAAGAAGGGUACUCCUUUUUAAGGUGUGCCAAGACAUUUGUUGAUUUGUUGUUUCACAUUUCCGCAAAAGUGGAUCCGAAGGUUUUCCAGAGUUUCUUCUCACCGAGUUUUAUCUCUGGUUUUUUACCCUGGACCUACUUGACGUGGAAUUGGUUUCAGUUCUCGUUGCAUGAGUUAUGUUUAGUGCAACGAGGGCUUAAACUUGCGAACAACAUUCACUCGCAGGGGGAAUGAAACAAGCAAGGAUGCGAUGUUGUCAAGCUUGUUAAUGCCAAUGGUUUAGAGUGAGAAUGGUUGGCCAAUGUCCAAUUGAUGUAGAGAUUGGAGGUGUAGACGAAGAGUAUGGUAUAUGCAGAGCUGCCAACCAUUACGUUUUUGCCGUAAUCAUUACGUUUUUUCAUUCAAAUUACGGCAUUAUGGUUUUUCUUUUCAAAUUACGUUUUUUGACAAUUUUGAUAAUGUGUGUACAUAAUUGUAUGUAUGUGGAGUGCGUGUUGAGCCCGAGAUGAGCCUGUUACUUGCGCGUGCGUAGUCGCCCGCCAGCCGGUUUUCCAACGCACUUUAAUAAUUUGAUAGCGCGCGCGUACAUAUACGUUUAUUGUUGAACAUGCGAGCGGCAUGCAUGGCACGAAUCGCGAUGUAUAACGACUGGUAAAUACGUCUGCAAGGAUGAUGAUGUCAUCCAAGAUGGCAACUUACGAUGACCAACGAAAGGAUCGAGGAUGAUUAUGUUUUGAUCAUCAUUUGAAAGGAAAUAGCAGUAACUGCGGUCUAAGGUACGAUAUUUCUGAAUUUUAUAUAUCUUAUCUUAAAUUUGCAUGUGAUUUCUUUCCCAUAAAGUGAUGUUUUAUGUACAAAAAAACGAUCCGAAAAUCGGAUUUCCGCCGAAUGAUAGUUCUAACGCUACUGCUAAUACGUUGUCUUUACCCUUACGCACGGGCCAACACUCUUCAGGUGAGUGGAGCCAACGUUCGUUCUGCAGCGCAAAGCGAGGAGUACGAUGAAUUGGGUAGGGUAAUUCCCCAAAUGUAGUAAGAGAAGAGUCCAUUUAUAAUGGAGGGGGGUUUGGAGGUUUGAGGGAAAUUAUUAUUCCAUUUGCAAAAUUUUACAAAAAUACUCAUCAUAUGUAUUAAAGAUGGAAUCAUCUAAAAAUAUUUUUCAUAUACUUUUAAAUUAAUUGUGGUGAUAAAGAAAUAAAAUUUUGAGGCUAUUUUCUUGAAUUGAUUAACAUAAAUUCCCUUCGGAUAAUGGUACUGUCUGGUUAAUUUUCAUCAACUCGUAAUCGUAUCAAACAAAUACGAUAAAUUCGGCUUUGAAAAGACCUGGAAAGCUCUUCAUUGUCCCCUGAAGUACUAAUUAUGGGUGAUAUUCAACAUUUAUUGAUAGUUUCACAUGAUUUAUACUAGAGAGAUGUCCUACUGCUUUUGGAAUUCUUUAAAAAAGUCGGCACUGUAGCAUUCAGUUUAGCAGGAAUGGGAAGAUUUCUUCCCCGGUUCUGGCGGCCUAGAUGUCUGCUCUAUAGUGCUGUCACUGCUGGGGAUGAUUGAGUGUGCGUGCAGUGUGAUUGAGGCUGAGCUGUGCACAUCGUGAAGUGAUCUACGAUGGGACUUUUGUGGAAUGAUUUUAACUUCUAGAUCUAUAUGAAUUUUAGAUUAGAUUGAUUUAUGAAUAUUUUUUUUAUAUUUGUGGAAUGUUACAUGUACUUCCAUUUUAUGACACUUUUUUAAAGGGUACUGUUUGGCAAAAACAAUGUUACUUGGGAAGAGAAGUCUGAAUUGAUGUGAACUUUUUUUUUAUUUCUCUUAGUCUACAAUUUGGUAGUUUGUCAGGAAACUCAACACAAAACAAUAUAUUAUUUUAAAAGUGGAAAGGUAGCCCCAGAAAAAUAGAGCCCUACAAACGUUCACCAGAACUGAUCUUGGUGCCCCUGAAAGAAUUUUUUCUCGACAGAUCUUUACUCUGAAAAGGAAGUGCCGGAGUAGGUUGCACUACAAAAUUAAAGUCCUACUUGUCUUUUUUUGAAAAAUUUGCCUUGGUGCCCUUUUGACUAGAAUAAAAGUGGCCUUCAUGCCCUUUAGAAUGGCGUUGAUGCCCCUUGAAAUUUUUGGGCAUCCAAGGCCACUUUGCCGGUUGCCCCAAGCUGAAAGUGCCCUUUCAAAAAUGGCCUUGCUUCUCUCAAUUCUUAAUUCGAGCCCUGCUACUGACUUAAUUAAAGUUGGUAGAUUUUGUCAAAAUAGGGCCCAAGACUAAGGGUCCAAUUUGUGACACUCGGUUACUUAGCCCAGACUAGGCCUAGAGAUUAAUUUUUUUUAAUUGUCCACUUCAUACACCUGUACAUACUUUUUGCAUUGGAUAUUUGUCGCAUGUGGUUUUAAGGUUCGUUUUAACACAUUCCUUUUUUUUGUUGGAAAUUCCUUUUUUUGGCCAUAAUGAUUCCUUUUUUUGCUUGCACAAGGUUGGCAGCUCUGUAUAUGAUGCGUCCAUUCGUUGAUCGCAUGAGAUUGCUUUGUAUGGAAUAAUUUUUUGAUUGUUGACUAUCCAUUCCGAUGGCUGGCAUGGUUUAUUGAUCAUUAACUUAGUUGUUGUUGUCCUUGAUUAUUGAAUUGGCUGGGUUGUCGAGCGUGAAAACUCACUUUUGAACUUAUGGCUUGGUUGGCCGGGCUUGGUUACAGAAUUACCGACUGAUUAUUAUCGGUAGCUUUGACAUCAGCUUUCCAGGGGAGGCAAUGGUUUGAUAAUUUAAAGUCGACGGCACCGAUGCACGGCCCUCUAUUCUACCAUUUAGGAUCGCCGCCGAGGAGGCAGAAUAUGGGACCAAAUCCUACCUUAGUCAUGAUAUCGGGGGUGCUUUGGAAGAGUGGCCCUUAUUUUAUCGAGUAUUAUUAUACGAUAAAAUGCACAAAAUAGAAUUCUCAUACUAGUAUAAUGGCGACAUUAUUGAAGUACGAGUAUAAUUACAUGACAAAAGAAGAUGACGCUCAUAGUAUAUAUUUUGGUCCUAGUGCAGAGGACAAGGGAGAGAGAGCAUAAUUUAUGGGUUUCCGAAACGAUGAGUUGCAACCAGGAAACCAGACGCGAUGGUUUGGGAGGGAUGGCCUUGACAUGAAGGGACUCCCAAAAUCCAAUAGCGUUUGCCAAGUGUCACGGCAAAAAAAUAAUAAUAAUAAUAAAUUAAAAAAAAAAAUAUAUAUAUUAUUUGGGGCUUUCGCUUUUUUGUGGGUAUUUUUUCUUAUAUCGGUCAAAUUUCAACACCAGGGGGAGGCACUGUAUACUAAUUAUGUCAAGAAAAUCGGGACAGGGGAACCCAACUUUCCAAAGUCUCCUGGUUUGGAAGUCCGGCUGGAUGUCUUCCGGCAGGUUCCCCUUCCAAGAAUUCACGUUCUGGUCUUGAAGCCUCUCCCCCAAUUUUAUUUCACACAUGAGAUAAUCUUGUAUUGAAUAGAUGAUAAAUGUAAAGAGGGGAAUCCGCACCCCAGGAAAUACCUGUCCUGGGAUCCCGUUGGAUCUCUUCCUUCUGGGAGGUCACGUGACCCGGUUUCCCCCUUAAAAUCUGGUUGAUUGUGGCUUGAUGAAUAUUGUUUAGAAACUGUGUACUUGUUAAAAUAUUGUAAAUGUCGUUUUAAUGAUUCUGGUAAAAUCCCCCAGAGGCAAUAAAGUUGAGAAACGGCAAUUUCA